CCUACGGGAGGCAGCAGUGAGGAAUAUUGGUCAAUGGACGAGAGUCUGAACCAGCCAAGUAGCGUGAAGGAUGACUGCACUAUGGGUUGUAAACUUCUUUUAUAUGGGAAUAAAAUGUUCCACGUGUGGGAUUUUGUAUGUACCAUAUGAAUAAGGAUCGGCUAACUCCGUGCCAGCAGCCGCGGUAAUACGGAGGAUCCGAGCGUUAUCCGGAUUUAUUGGGUUUAAAGGGAGCGUAGGUGGAUUGUUAAGUCAGUUGUGAAAGUUUGCGGCUCAACCGUAAAAUUGCAGUUGAAACUGGCAGUCUUGAGUACAGUAGAGGUGGGCGGAAGUCGUGGUGUAGCGGUGAAAUGCUUAGAUAUCACGAAGAACUCCGAUUGCGAAGGCAGUUCACUGGACUGCAACUGACACUGAGGCUCGAAAGUGUGGGUAUCAAACAGGAUUAGAUACCCCUGUAGUC
rnacentral:rRNA from 1 species